rnacentral:rRNA from 1 species
UGGCCAGACUCCUACGGGAGGCAGCAGUGAGGAAUAUUGGUCAAUGGGCGAGAGCCUGAACCAGCCAAGUCGCGUGAGGGAAGACGGUCCUAUGGAUUGUAAACCUCUUUUGCCGGGGAGCAAAAAGCGGUACGUGUACCGCAUCGAGAGUACCCGGAGAAAAAGCAUCGGCUAACUCCGUGCCAGCAGCCGCGGUAAUACGGAGGAUGCGAGCGUUAUCCGGAUUUAUUGGGUUUAAAGGGUGCGUAGGCGGACGCUUAAGUCAGCGGUAAAAUUGCGGGGCUCAACCUCGUCGAGCCGUUGAAACUGGGUGCCUUGAGUGGGCGAGAAGUACGCGGAAUGCGUGGUGUAGCGGUGAAAUGCAUAGAUAUCACGCAGAACUCCGAUUGCGAAGGCAGCAUACCGGCGCCCUACUGACGCUGAGGCACGAAAGCGUGGGUAUCGAACAGGAUUAGAUACCCUAGUA